AAAUCUCGUCCGGUAGUAUAUGCGAGUUGAAAAGCAUUGCAACCGGUGGAGAUUCCA
rnacentral:pre_miRNA from 1 species